CUUUGAUCAUGGCUCAGGAUGAACGCUAGCUACAGGCUUAACACAUGCAAGUCGAGGGGAAACGACAUCGAAAGCUUGCUUUUGAUGGGCGUCGACCGGCGCACGGGUGAGUAACGCGUAUCCAACCUGCCCAUCACUUGGGGAUAACCUUGCGAAAGUAAGACUAAUACCCAAUGAUAUCUCUAGAAGACAUCUGAAAGAGAUUAAAGAUUUAUCGGUGAUGGAUGGGGAUGCGUCUGAUUAGCUUGUUGGCGGGGUAACGGCCCACCAAGGCUACGAUCAGUAGGGGUUCUGAGAGGAAGGUCCCCCACAUUGGAACUGAGACACGGUCCAAACUCCUACGGGAGGCAGCAGUGAGGAAUAUUGGUCAAUGGACGAGAGUCUGAACCAGCCAAGUAGCGUGCAGGAUGACGGCCCUAUGGGUUGUAAACUGCCUUUAUAAGGGAAUAAAGUGAGUCUCGUGAGACUUUUUGCAUGUACCUUAUGAAUAAGGACCGGCUAAUUCCGUGCCAGCAGCCGCGGUAAUACGGAAGGUCCGGGCGUUAUCCGGAUUUAUUGGGUUUAAAGGGAGCGUAGGCCGGAGAUUAAGCGUGUUGUGAAAUGUAGACGCUCAACGUCUGCACUGCAGCGCGAACUGGUUUCCUUGAGUACGCACAAAGUGGGCGGAAUUCGUGGUGUAGCGGUGAAAUGCUUAGAUAUCACGAAGAACUCCGAUUGCGAAGGCAGCUCACUGGAGCGCAACUGACGCUGAAGCUCGAAAGUGCGGGUAUCGAACAGGAUUAGAUACCCUGGUAGUCCGCACGGUAAACGAUGGAUGCCCGCCGUUGGUCUGAAUAGGUCAGCGGCCAAGCGAAAGCAUUAAGCAUCCCACCUGGGGAGUACGCCGGCAACGGUGCAACUCAAAGGAAUUGACGGA
rnacentral:rRNA from 1 species